GACGGGACCCGCACAAGCAGCGGAGCGUGUGGUUUAAUUCGAUGCAACGCGAAGAACCUUACCUGGGCUUGAACCGCACCUGUAAACCUGUGGAAACACGGGUCCCUCCUUCGGGAGCAGGUGUAGAGGUGCUGCAUGGCUGUCAUCAGCUCGUGUCGUGAGAUGUUGGGUUAAGUCCCGCAACGAGCGCAACCCCUGCCCUUAGUUGCCAUCGGGUCACGCCGGGAACUCUAAGGGGACCGCCCCGGACAACGGGGAGGAAGGUGGGAUGACGUCAAGUCAGCAUGGCCUUUAUGUCCAGGGCUACACACGUGCUACAAUGGUUGGUACAAAGGGUUGCCAAGCCGUGAGGCGGAGCCAAUCUCAAAAAGCCAACCUCAGUUCGGAUUGCAGUCUGCAACUCGACUGCAUGAAGUUGGAAUCGCUAGUAAUCGCUGAUCAGCAGGCAGCGGUGAAUACGUUCCCGGGCCUU
rnacentral:rRNA from 1 species